rnacentral:rRNA from 1 species
CUACGGGAGGCAGCAGUGGGGAAUAUUGGACAAUGGGGGAAGCCCUGAUCCAGCCAUGCCGCGUGAGUGAAGAAGGCCUUAGGGUUGUAAAGCUCUUUCGGCGGGGACGAUGAUGACGGUACCCGCAGAAGAAGCCCCGGCUAACUCCGUGCCAGCAGCCGCGGUAAUACGGAGGGGGCAAGCGUUGUUCGGAAUUACUGGGCGUAAAGCGCGCGUAGGCGGUUUUUCAAGUUAGGCGUGAAAGCCCUGGGCUCAACCCGGGAAUUGCGCUUAAUACUGGAUGACUUGAGGCCGGGAGAGGGUAGUGGAAUUCCCAGUGUAGAGGUGAAAUUCGUAGAUAUUGGGAAGAACACCAGUGGCGAAGGCGGCUACCUGGACCGGUACUGACGCUGAUGCGCGAAAGCGUGGGGAGCAAACAGGAUUAGAUACCCCAGUAGUCC